rnacentral:rRNA from 1 species
UUGAUGGCGACCGGCGCACGGGUAAGUAACGCGUAUCCAACCUGCCCUUUACUAUGGGACAGCCCGUCGAAAGGCGGAUUAAUACCGUAUGUUGUCAUGUUGAUGCAUAUUUUCAUGACCAAAGGCUUCGGCCGGUAAAGGAUGGGGAUGCGUCUGAUUAGCUUGCCGGCGGGGUAACGGCCCACCGGGGCGACGAUCAGUAGGGGUUCUGAGAGGAAGGUCCCCCACAUUGGAACUGAGACACGGUCCAAACUCCUACGGAAGGCAGCAG